rnacentral:rRNA from 1 species
UUGAAGAGUUUGAUCAUGGCUCAGAUUGAACGCUGGCGGCAGGCCUAACACAUGCAAGUCGAGCGGUAACACAGAGAGCUUGCUCUCGGGUGACGAGCGGCGGACGGGUGAGUAAUGUCUGGGAAACUGCCUGAUGGAGGGGGAUAACUACUGGAAACGGUAGCUAAUACCGCAUAACGUCGCAAGACCAAAGUGGGGGACCUUCGGGCCUCAUGCCAUCAGAUGUGCCCAGAUGGGAUUAGCUAGUAGGUGGGGUAAUGGCUCACCUAGGCGACGAUCCCUAGCUGGUCUGAGAGGAUGACCAGCCACACUGGAACUGAGACACGGUCCAGACUCCUACGGGAGGCAGCAGUGGGGAAUAUUGCACAAUGGGCGCAAGCCUGAUGCAGCCAUGCCGCGUGUAUGAAGAAGGCCUUCGGGUUGUAAAGUACUUUCAGCGAGGAGGAAGGCGUUAAGGUUAAUAACCUUGGCGAUUGACGUUACUCGCAGAAGAAGCACCGGCUAACUCCGUGCCAGCAGCCGCGGUAAUACGGAGGGUGCAAGCGUUAAUCGGAAUUACUGGGCGUAAAGCGCACGCAGGCGGUCUGUCAAGUCGGAUGUGAAAUCCCCGGGCUCAACCUGGGAACUGCAUUCGAAACUGGCAGGCUAGAGUCUUGUAGAGGGGGGUAGAAUUCCAGGUGUAGCGGUGAAAUGCGUAGAGAUCUGGAGGAAUACCGGUGGCGAAGGCGGCCCCCUGGACAAAGACUGACGCUCAGGUGCGAAAGCGUGGGGAGCAAACAGGAUUAGAUACCCUGGUAGUCCACGCCGUAAACGAUGUCGACUUGGAGGUUGUGCCCUUGAGGCGUGGCUUCCGGAGCUAACGCGUUAAGUCGACCGCCUGGGGAGUACGGCCGCAAGGUCAAAACUCAAAUGAAUUGACGGGGGCCCGCACAAGCGGUGGAGCAUGUGGUUUAAUUCGAUGCAACGCGAAGAACCUUACCUACUCUUGACAUCCAGAGAACUUAGCAGAGAUGCUUUGGUGCCUUCGGGAACUCUGAGACAGGUGCUGCAUGGCUGUCGUCAGCUCGUGUUGUGAAAUGUUGGGUUAAGUCCCGCAACGAGCGCAACCCUUAUCCUUUGUUGCCAGCGGUCCGGCCGGGAACUCAAAGGAGACUGCCAGUGAUAAACUGGAGGAAGGUGGGGAUGACGUCAAGUCAUCAUGGCCCUUACGAGUAGGGCUACACACGUGCUACAAUGGCAUAUACAAAGAGAAGCGACCUCGCGAGAGCAAGCGGACCUCAUAAAGUAUGUCGUAGUCCGGAUUGGAGUCUGCAACUCGACUCCAUGAAGUCGGAAUCGCUAGUAAUCGUAGAUCAGAAUGCUACGGUGAAUACGUUCCCGGGCCUUGUACACACCGCCCGUCACACCAUGGGAGUGGGUUGCAAAAGAAGUAGGUAGCUUAACCUUCGGGAGGGCGCUUACCACUUUGUGAUUCAUGACUGGGGUGAAGUCGUAACAAGGUAACCGUAGGGGAACCUGCGGUUGGAUCACCUCCUU